AACCAGUGAUGUGAUGAUUCUGCCAAAUGAGAUACAAUGAUAUCACAUAAACCGUUCCAUUUUAUUUCUGAGGUU